rnacentral:rRNA from 1 species
GACGAACGCUGGCGGCGUGCUUAACACAUGCCAGUCGAACGGAAAGGCCCUGCUUUUGUGCGGUGCUCGAGUGGCGAACGGGUGAGUAACACGUGAGUAACCUGCCCUUGACUUUGGGAUAACUUCAGGAAACUGGGGCUAAUACCGGAUAGGAGCUCCUGCUGCAUGGUGGGGGUUGGAAAGUUUCGGCGGUUGGGGCUGGACUCGCGGCUUAUCAGCUUGUUGGUGGGGUAGUGGCUUACCAAGGCUUUGACGGGUAGCCGGCCUGAGAGGGUGACCGGCCACAUGGGGCCUACGGGACGGCCCAGACGCCAACGGGGGGCAGCAGUGGGGAAUAUGGCACAAUGGGCGGAAGCCGGAGGCAGAAACGCCGCGGGCGGGAUGACGGCCUUCGGGUUGAAAACCGCUUUCGCCUGUGACGAAGCUGGAGUGACGGUAAUGGGUAAAGAAGCACCGGCUAACUACGUG